CGGAUUCAUUGGGCGUAAAGCGCUCGUAGGCGGUCUGUUAGGUCGGGAGUUAAAUCCGGAGGCUCAACCUCCGCCCGCUCCCGAUACCGGCAGACUUGAGUUUGGUAGGGGAAGGUGGAAUUCCUAGUGUAGCGGUGGAAUGCGCAGAUAUUAGGAAGAACACCAGUGGCGAAGGCGGCCUUCUGGGCCAUAACUGACGCUGAGGAGCGAAAGCUAGGGGAGCAAACAGGAUUAGAUACCCUGGUAGUCCUAGCUGUAAACGAUGGACACUAGGUGUGGGAGAAUACGUCUUCCGUGCCGCAGCUAACGCAUUAAGUGUCCCGCCUGGGGAGUACGGCCGCAAGGCUAAAACUCAAAGGAAUUGACGGGGACCCGCACAAGCAGCGGAGCAUGUGGUUUAAUUCGAAGCAACGCGAAGAACCUUACCAGGGCUUGACAU
rnacentral:rRNA from 1 species